GUCUUCCUAACAAUUUCUCAAGUGGCUCCCUCUAAGAUAAAGGUAUCCUUCUUCUUAAGCGUUGAAUUGUGUUGAUCAUAAUACUGGAUUUGUCAACGUUGCCAUGGCAGUUGCUUGCAAUAAUAAACCUAAUAUCCGGAUUCGUCUUCAAACAGAAAUAAUGCAAGGUGUGAACAAAGUAUUUUGGAUAGCUUGGAAUAUAACAUGAACGACUUACUUCUGCGACUUAUUUGGAAAUCAUCAGCAUUACUUUCCAUUUUUAUCCUAUAAAACAUAUCGAUAAUGUCUUAUUUUUGUGGAACUCUAUCCGAUGAUAAAGAGGAUACUAUGGAGAAGCAUGGUGUGGUUAAGCAUAGUAAACAGAAGGGAAGAACUACCGAUGAGAUCGAGCCGGUUCAUGGAUUAACCUAUUGUCGUAGGAAAGCUACUAAAACGCGUCAUUCUAAUAAAGGGAAAGUUAAGUUGGAUGAUUUAUCGUUCAACGAUAAGAGCGAUGAUAAAAUAAGUUCUCCAAAAAGUAAGAGUAGGCGUCAUCUUCGUAAAGAGAUUGAAAGACUGAUGGAAGAGAAUCAUAUGUUACUGAUAAAAUUAGAAGAUUUCAAUGCAACGUCAGACAAUAGAGAGGAACAGAAGGAUAAAGAUAAAUUAAUAUUUAAAAUACGCGAUAAGUAUCAUAAAUUAGCACAGGAAUAUGAACGUGUUCAACAGCAAUGCGAAGAAUCCAAUGUUCUUUUGAAGCAAAAAGAAACGGAAUAUAGACAAUUGCACGUUCAUCAUGAAGAAUCCACUCAGGUUUUCCAACAAUUAGAAAAAACAAAAGAUAGUUUAUUAAAUCUUAAUCAGAAAUUAAAAUCUGAAAAUGUUCAAUUAAAGGAAGAUAUCGUGCUUCUGAAAAAAGUAAUUUAUCAAUUAAAUACAGAAUUAGAAAGGUAUCAGGACAAACUCAGGUUAUGCGGACAAGUUAUACCUUUGCAAUAUAGUACUAGCACAAUGAACGACGUAGAAAUAUCUAGAGAAAAUAAAAAAAUGUUAGAAUCUUGGGGCAACGUAGAUCUACACGCUUUGGCUCCACUUUUAAAUGCUUAUCAAGAGAAUAUAACAGAAAAAAAAGAACUGAUAAGCAAGUACGAACAAGAACUCAAUGAUUUCACCGGCAGAUGCAAGGAAAUUAUUUCAGAAAACGAAUUUUUACAAAAGGAACUGGAAAAUUCUAAAUCGAAGUGUAAUAGGUACAUAGAAGAGAUAAAACAAAUUUCAAACGACGCAGCUUUGAUCAAGGAACAAAAUGAUACAGUGACGCAGCAAGCUGUACAUCACAAACAGAAACUUCAAGAAUUACAAUCUUUGUACGAAAGGAAGAUAGAAUCUUUGACUCAAGAAAAUAAAAGUCUGCAUAAAGAAGUCGUAACUUAUAAAACGGAAUUAAGUAAUCUUCAAGGAAAAUAUAAAAUAGUAAAUGAAGGUUAUGAAAUGUUGAAAAGUAAUAGCGAUAAAACAAUGCCGGUACAUGUGCAUGUUGCAGCAGUAGAUGAAUGUAAAAGAUUGUUCGAAGAAUUGAAAUUGCAGUACGAAUCGGAGAAAAAAAAACUUACUACUCGUAUCAAACAAUUGGAGGAAUCUCUACCGGACAAUGAGAAACAACUCGUAACAGUAACAGCGGAGCGAAAUCAUUUAAAAAAUCUAACGAAAACGUUAGAACGCGAUCUAAAACGUACUCAGCAUAAAUUAACGAACGUACAAAAUAUAGUAUACUCCGUACAAAUUUCACGCGACUCGUUCAAAAGACAAUUGAAUAAAACCACUGCGUAUUGCGAAAAGUUAGUAUCAGAAUACGAAAAAGUUAUAUCCGAGAAAGAAAAACUAACGAAUUUGUUACAUGAAAGAGAGAAAGAAAAUGCGGAUAUUCAAUACAUAGGCGAUAGUAUCGCUCAUAGAGUGGGUAACUUAAAAAGUCAAUUGAACGCUGUACAGAAGGACGCGAAGGAUCAAUUGGCAAUGGUGGAAAGGCAUAUAAGAAUACACGAAGUUGGAACUCAUCAAUUGAAAUCCGAAUAUCGUCAAGAGGUACAACGGUUGAAACGUUUGCUUAAGCAAAAGGAUGACGUUAUAACUCAACUACGGAAAGAAAAAGAGAAACGUGCGUCUCAAGAAAAUAUUGAACUGGUUUGACAAUAUCGAGACCAUUGACAAAAUGAUUUAAUUACCAGUUUAAUAGUUGGAAGGCUUAAGCAUAAUUUUAUUAUCAAAUCAUAUUGAAUAUCACGUCCGGAAUUCGUGCGACACAGUGAGACGGUGCCCUCAGGGUCCAACACACGUAGGAAACGUCAGAUUUUUACCGACGACAUCACCUUUAUUUAGUGGUGACAUCAACCAACGCAAGUGGUCUCGAAGGUUACCAAUUGCCACAGAGGGAGCAAUGCUUGUUAUUAUAAUUCUUUCUAUGCAAGAAGAAACCGAUAGCAUUCAUUAUAGAAAUGAUCUCA